GAUGAACGCUGGCGGCGUGCCUAACACAUGCAAGUCGAACGGAGUUGUCACCAUGAAGUUUUCGGAUGGAUUGGUAACAACUUAGUGGCGGACGGGUGAGUAACGCGUGGGUAACCUGCCUCAUACUGGGGGAUAACAGCUGGAAACGGCUGCUAAAACCGCAUAAGAUCGCAUCACCGCAUGGUGAGGCGGUUAAAUAUCGAAAGAUAGGUAUGAGAUGGGCCCGCGUCUGAUUAGCUAGUUGGUGAGAUAAGAGCCCACCAAGGCGACGAUCAGUAGCCGGCUUGAGAGAGUGACCGGCCACAUUGGGACUGAGACACGGCCCAAACUCCUACGGGAGGCAGCAGUGGGGAAUAUUGCACAAUGGGGGAAACCCUGAUGCAGCGACGCCGCGUGAGUGAAGAAGUGCUUCGGCAUGUAAAGCUCUAUCAGCAGGGAAGAAGAUGACGGUACCUGACUAAGAAGCCCCGGCUAACUACGUG
rnacentral:rRNA from 1 species